rnacentral:rRNA from 1 species
ACGCUCGACACCUACGGGGGCAGCAGUGGGGAAUAGUUGCACAAUGGGGGAAACCCUGGAUGCAGCGACGCCGCGUGAGUGAAGAAGUAUUUCGGUAUGUAAAGCUCUAUCAGCAGGGAAGAAGAUGACGGUACCUGAGUAAGAAGCCCCGGCUAACUACGUGCCAGCAGCCGCGGUAAUCUGAGCGGGCUGGCAAGGC